rnacentral:lncRNA from 1 species
UGCCACCACGCCCAGCUAAUUUUUGUAUUUUUAGUAGAGACGGGGUUUCACCGUGUUGGCCAGGAUGGUCUCGAUCUCUCGACCUGGUGAUCCACCCGCCUGGGCCUCCCAAAGUGCUGGGAUUACAGGCAUGAGCCACCGUGCCUGGCCCCUCCUGUGUUCUUUAACACCUCCCAAGCCCAAACCCUGUUACUGGCAGCAAAUCCGUGUGGGUCUGCAGCAACCUCAAUUCUUGUCUCCUAAGAAGAAAGAAUUCGACUGAGGGGAAUAGGCAGAAGGAAAGACCAAGGCAGCCUGGGCAAUAGGCUCUCAUUUAGAGCAGGAGAGAAAGUUUAUUGAAAAGCUUUAGAGCAGGGACAAAAGGAAUGAAAGUACACUUGGAAGAGGGCUAAGCGGGCGACAUGAAAGACAAGUGUGCAGUUUGACCUUUUGAGUUGGGGUUUUAUAUGUUGGCACACUUCUGGGGUCUUGCGUCCCUUCUCCCCAGUUCCUCCCUUGGGGUGGGCUGUUCACUUAGGCGGUGGCCUACCAGCGCCUGGGUGGGGAGCAUGCGCAGUGUGUUUACUGAAGUUAUACGCGUGCUCACUUGAAGCGUUCUUCCCUUACCCACUGAAUGUCCCCAGGAGGUCAUGUACCAAUUAAACUCUGCUAUUUUGCCUCUUAGUGCACAUGCUUGUGCCCACUCGCCGAACUCCCAAGAUCUUAUUGGGAAGCUGCUGAUCACCAGCUUCGGGUGUUUUCUUUUCUUUUUCUUUUUUUGAGAUGGAGUUUCUCUCUUGUUGCCCAGGCUGGAGUGCAAUGGCGCGAUCUCAGCUCGCUGCAACCUCCACCUCCCAGGUUCAAGCGAUUCUCCUGCCUCAGCCUCCCAAAUAGCUGGGAUUACAGGCGCGCAUCACCACACCGGCUAAUUUUUUUUUUUUUUGAGACGGAGUCUCACUCUGUCGCCCAGGCUGGAGUGCACUGGCGCGAUCUCUGCUCACUGCAAGCUCUGCCUCCCGGGUUCACGCCAUUCUCCUGCCUCAGCCUCCCGAGUAGCUGGGACUACAGGAGCCCGCCCGCCACCACGCCCGGCUAAUUUUUUUGUAUUUUUUCUUUUUUUUAGUAGAGACGGGGUUUCACCUUGUUAGCCAGGAUGGUCUUGAUCUCCUGAAUUCGUGAUCCGCCAGGCUCGGCUUCCCAAAGUGCUCGAUUACAGGCAUGAGCCACCGUGCCCGGCCUAAUUUUUGUAUUUUUAUUAGAGACAGGGUUUCGCCACGUUGGCCAGGCUGGUCUUGAACUCCUGACCUCAGGUGAUCCGCCCACCUCGGGCCCCCAAGUGCUGGGAUUAUAGGCGUGAGCCACCACACCUGGCCAGCUUCGGGUGUUUUCUGUCUACUGGGAGACUACCAUUCCUUGGCACCAGCUGCAAGCAAUUUAUUUAUUUAUUUAUUUAAUUUUAUUGAGACAGGGUCUUAUUCUGUUGCCCAGGCUGGAGUACAGUGGUGUGAUCAUGGCUCACUGCAGCCUCAACCUCCCAAGCUCAGGUGAUCCUCCCACCUCAGCCUCCUGAUUAUCUGGGACCAUGGGUGUGUGCCACCAGGCACAGCUAAUUUUUGUAGAGAUGAGGUUUCAAUAUGUUUCCCAGGCUGGUCUCGAACUCCUGGGCUCAAGGGAUCCCCCUCCAACUCAGCUCUCAAAGUGUUGGGAUUACAGAAAUGAGCCACUGCACCCAACCUUGAAAAGGUUUCAAAUGGGAAAGAGAUGUGAUUGGAAUGUUUUCUAAACCACUGCACCUACAUUUGGUGGAAAUGUUUAAUGCAUGUAAAUGAUCAUUGUAUAUGUCAAGUUUUUUUAAUGUCCAAAAGGAGCAUUACACCAAUAAAACA